AUGGAUGUGACAUCAUAGAGGAACCUUGAUAUCACAACAAGGAUGCGAUGUCCUGGGGAGGAUGUGAUGUCACAGGGCAGAUGUGAUGUCACAGGGGAGGACAUGAUGUCAUAGGGGGGAUAUGGUGUCAUGGGGAGGAUGUGAUGUCAUAAGGUAGGUGUGAUGUCACAGGAAGGAUGUGACAUUACUGGGAGCAUGCGAUGUCAUAGAGGAGUGACACAUUGCCCCCCACCUUGCUCCAGCUUAAGCCCUGGAAUUUGUUUCCCUUGGAUUCAAGUUCAGGCUGUUUCAUUUCCAUGGAUGUCUAGAGAUGAGUUAAGGGGAGCUCAGACCUUUUGGUCAGUGAAAUGUUAGAAGAGAGAGAAUCUCACCUGGAUCUUGGACAGAACACUUCUAGACUUCUUUAUUAUGUUGAAUUCUUCCCUAAUAGUUCUGGAUGACAGGACACCCAUGUGGAAAGUCCCUUUUCUGGUUUUCAGGACUUAAAAGAGAUGCUUUUCUGAUGU